CCUACGGGGGGCUGCAGUGAGGAAUAUUGCGCAAUGGAGGCAACUCUGACGCAGCCAUGCCGCGUGCAGGAAGAAGGCGCUACGCGUUGUAAACUGCUUUUAACCGGGAAGAAACCCCAGGACGUGUCCUGGGUUGACGGUACCGGAGGAAUAAGCACCGGCUAACUUCGUGCCAGCAGCCGCGGUAAUACGAAGGGUGCAAGCGUUAUCCGGAUUCAUUGGGUUUAAAGGGUGCGUAGGUGGGGCGAUAAGUCAGUGGUGAAAUCUUGCGGCUUAACCGUAAAAUUGCCAUUGAUACUGUCGCUCUUGAGUACGCUUGACGUGGGCGGAAUGUGCCGUGUAGCGGUGAAAUGCUUAGAUAUGGCACAGAACACCGAUAGUGAAGACAGCUCACGAAGGCGAAACUGACACUGAGGCACGAAAGCGUGGGGAUCGAACAGGAUUAGAUACCCCGGUAGUC
rnacentral:rRNA from 1 species